rnacentral:rRNA from 1 species
AGAUUGAACGCUGGCGGCAUGCCUAACACAUGCAAGUCGAACGGGAGUAGCAAUACUCUAGUGGCGGACGGGUGAGGAAUACGUAGGAAUUUGCCCUUAAGUGGGGGAUAACCCGGGGAAACCCGGAUUAAUACCGCAUGACCUCGAAAGAGCAAAGUGGGGGAUCGCAAGACCUCACGCUUUUGGAGAAGCCUACGUCGGAUUAGCUAGUUGGUGAGGUAAUGGCUCACCAAGGCGACGAUCCGUAACUGGUCUGAGAGGAUGAUCAGUCACACCGGAACUGAGACACGGUCCGACUCCGUACGGGA